GACGUAGGGCGCGAGCGUUGUCCGGAUUUAUUGGGCGUAAAGAGCUCGUAGGCGGCCUCAUAAGUCCGUUGUGAAAGUCCAGGGCUCAACCCUGGGAUGCCGGUCGAUACUGCCGGACUAGAGUCGGAAGAGGCAAGUGGAAUUCCUGGUGUAGCGGUGGAAUGCGCCAGAUAUCAGGAGGAACACCAAUAGCGAAGGCAGCUGCUGG
rnacentral:rRNA from 1 species